UCUUCAGGUGCCUAGGCAAGACUCUGUAUCAAGACUCUGUGUUUUUUCACCUGUAUCACCUUUUAGAAGUUUUGUUUCACGUGCCCUCACUAAAGGAAAAGGAACAAGAAUAAUAAAGACCACUGAUAUGCAGAAAACAGACACGGAAAGGAAGAACUGUGCAGACAACUACAACACACGCAAAUGAAGCUGCACAUGCGUCAAAGGUUGGAAACCUCUGCCAUCCCCAUGCACCUUCUCCAUUCACUACCAGAUACGAAGGGCCACCGUGAAGCACAAACCGGAAAAAAAUGACCCAGCCCCGGCUUGCCCGAGUGCCACUAAGGACAGGAACGAGCCCAUCGGCCAGGGAGGAGGUGGCUGGUGAAGCCGAAGAUGAUCUCCGAGUCCAAGCACAAGGCUCCUAUCUCCAGCAGGCUGGGGUUUUUCCUCGUGGCGUUGGAGGCAUCGGGCGAUUUUUGAAAAGCCAUAGUUUGGGGUUGGAAAUAUCCGGCUCCCUGAGCGGAGGCGAUGUAUUUGUAUACACACACACACAGAGGAAAAGAAAAAAAGAAAAAAAAAAAAGGAAUAAAAUAGCAAACACCUCCCACCCC